rnacentral:lncRNA from 1 species
UCAGUCAAUACUUGAAAUGUUGAAUUGCCCUAAAGGUUUCUGUGGAAUAAUGAGAUUAUUUGGAAGUUAAGUGUAGCUUACUGGGCAAGGUGGAAGGGCAGGUCAUGGUUGUAUUUGGCUAUGAAAGAACUAGACCCUGAGCCUUUUUGGAAGGGUUCAAGAGGGCAGUGUGAAACUAUGAUGACUUGGCCCAUCCUUGAAGAGAAGAAAUGAGGACAGAGGGUUUCUCCUGAGGCUAUGGAAAAUCUGGGCUAACUUAAGCUUACCCUGUCCUUAUGCACACAGUGUAUCUGCCAACUUAUGGAUGCUCUGGCUCUUAGUGGCUGUGGAGGAAUAAACUUGGAAUCCCAGCUGGAAAAUAUUAUAGGCAUACUGUUCAAUCAGGUGAGCACUGUGGGGCCAGAAGCAUCCUGGGCUUGCUUUUUCUCUCUUCUUUGGAGGUGAUGGCUACCCCAGCCCAGGUCACAACCUCCGUAGAUGCAUGUGUCUUUCACAUGGUGACCUUAACAAUACACAUCUCAGGUUUCCCUGGAAGAGGUAAAUGCCUGGAUUCUGGGCAUAGACUUGGAUAUUCUCCAUGAGGUAAAUUGGGUACAUUCUGUGUGUUUCUUGAAGGUCACAGAACUUUGUUGCUCCCCCUAAUCUCUGGUGAAAGGGCAGGAGGUUCAAAGCACUCUAUCAUGCCUGUGGGAAAUGUCAGGUCCUCUGUGUUGCAGCCUAAAGUAAGAAUAAGAUAAUUGAACAUUUUGCAAAAGGUGUUACCUUCUGUAUGUUUCAUUUGCUUGCCACUGUCUUCUUCCCUUUGGGGCUGGGAAUGUGGAUUCCUGGGUUCUGUUUUCCUAUUCUCCUUUAUGGCUAAACACCACACUUUCAUGGAUGCAUGCCUUGGUUCCCCCAUCCACACCCAUGGACCCUAGUUUCAGUCCUCCCAGGUCUGAUGGCCUUGGUCUCCCCACAGCUGAAUGAAACAGUUGAGGUCUCAGAUCCUCACUCUGCACGGAACCACAGCCUUGCCCUGAAGGCUUUCUACAUCCUGACCAAGUUAUACAAUGAUCAGGUGGUAUUCUUAAUACGAAAGAACAUGCAAACCAGUGAUCCAGCCAAGAUAGUAUCAG